CUCACUUGGCUGCCGCCCCGAGACCCCAGCCCGUACCUGGGCUUCGCGCCCGCCAAGUGGGCCCAGCCCUGGCUCCUGCGCCCUGUGGCGGCCACCUCCAUCGCCUUGCUUUCCCUUCGGGCACUGGGGGUCGCUCAGGGCGGGACAUGGGUGAACGGAAGUGGAAGCUGUGAGCGUCGCAGCCCGAGGCGCCGAGGCCUGAGGCGCCGUCGGGGCCACAGCGACGCUCGCAUGGAGAGCGCUGGGCGCUGGGCUGUGCACCGACGGCUAACCUGGACCCACGGUCUCUGCGGGGCGGGAGCUUUGCAGAACCGACUGGCCGACUGGGGCGCGGGAACAUGAGGCUUGGCUAGGAGCCCGCUGCGGGCCAGGCGCGCGGUGCGCAGGCAUACCCGGGUCGCGGGUGAACACCGCGGAGCCCCGGGACUUGCCUGUCGUUGCUGGUGGCGGCAUGGUCUUCUGUCUGUCGAGCGAGGAGCCGCGCCGCCCGCUGCGAAGCGACAUGGUCCACUUCCAGGCCUCGGAAGUCCAGCAGCUGCUACACAACAAGUUCGUGGUCAUCUUGGGGGACUCCAGUGAGUGCCUCUUCUAGGGUGACGCUUCCAGUCCCACACCUUGCAGCCCGUUCAGUGUGUCUGGACCAUUUGUUUCCAUCUCACAUCUCUUGUCUGUCUUCUGGUCUGUUCCGUCCAGUAGGUUUUCUCUUUUUAUGUCCCACACAUCUUCCACAGGAGUCCUGACAGGUGUAAUAACCUGUGCACUUUUUAGCCCAUCCUUGCUCAGCAUUUCUCGCCCUGACAGCUCCCCAUAAUUUCCAUCACGAAAGCGUUGCAUUGUGUAGUGUGUCUCCUGGGUGACUUGGCCGACUUAAUUUCUGCCAGGUGAUCUUGGGUCACUGUAUACUGCUGGCCAGGAGGCACACAGAACAGAGGCAAUGCCAGGACUUUUUAACCUCAUCUUUUCUCCUGCGUCUAAGUCAACCACAGAGCUGGUGUCGGGCACCUCAGCCCUGGGAAAAUGGGGUCCUGGACUUGGAAGGAGCUGGGGCAGGCUGAGGUCUGCCUCAGCCUUGGGAUCUCUGUCUCCUCCCAGUUCAGAGGGCUGUGUACAAGGACCUGGUGCUCUUGCUCCAGAAAGACUCACUGCUCACAGCUGCCCAGCUGAAAGCCAAGGUGAGGGAAGCUUGGUGGCCAUGUCAGUGGUGGGUGGG
rnacentral:lncRNA from 1 species